GAUGAACGCUAGCGGGAGGCCUAACACAUGCAAGCCGAGCGGUAUUGUUUCUUCGGAAAUGAGAGAGCGGCGUACGGGUGCGGAACACGUGUGCAACCUGCCUUUAUCUGGAGGAUAGCCUUUCGAAAGGAAGAUUAAUACUCCAUAAUAUAUUAAUUGGCAUCAAUUGAUAUUGAAAACUCCGGUGGAUAGAGAUGGGCACGCGCAAGACUAGCUAGUUGGUGAGGUAACGGCUCACCAAGGCAAUGAUCUUUAGGGGGCCUGAGAGGGUGAUCCCCCACACUGGUACUGAGACACGGACCAGACUCCUACGGGAGGCAGCAGUGAGGAAUAUUGGUCAAUGGGUGCAAGCCUGAACCAGCCAUCCCGCGUGAAGGAUUAAGGUCCUAUGGAUUGUAAACUUCUUUUGUAUAGGGAUAAACCUACCCUCGUGAGGGUAGCUGAAGGUACUAUACGAAUAAGCACCGGCUAACUCCGUGCCAGCAGCCGCAGUAACAC
rnacentral:rRNA from 1 species